GAAAGCACUUUCUUCUACUUCAGAAGACGACAUACAAGCAGAGAAGUAAUAUAGAAGGCAAAAGGCAAACACCAUCACCAUGGGUGAAAAGAUUGGUGUCAGAUUUCUUCUAUUUGUUGUCUGCACAGCUACCACACCAAUAUCAACAACUGCAGCCCCAACAACAACCAUAACUGCGGUCACAACUACAGAUGCUCCAACAACAACCACAGCUUCCCCAAGAACAAACACAACUACCACCACAACCACAGCUGCUCCACCAAUAACCACAAAUGCCACCCCAACAACAACCACAACUGCGGCCACAACUACAGCUGGCCCAAAAACAACCACAGUGAUAGCCACAACUGCUCCAACAACUACAACAGCUGCACCCACAAACACAGCUACCCCAACAACAACCACAAUUGCCACCCCAACAACGACCACAACUGCACCCACAACCACAGCUGCUCCAACAACAACUACAGCUGCUCCAACAACAACCACAGUUUCCCCAACAACAACAACUGCACCCUCGACUACAGGUGCUCACACAACAACUACAGCUGUUCCAACAACAACCACAACUGUCUCCCCAACAACUACUACACCUGCACCCACAACAAC